AAUAACGAGAGUUGAUUCUUUGAAUCACAGAUACAUUGCAAUGCCCUAUCCCCACAUCAGCUUGUGAGAAAAUCAUCACCGUGCAGAUCCACCACUGUUGCAUUAUCCUAUGCAUGCACAAUCCUCCUUUGCUUUGCACUUCCCACAACCCCUGAUGUGUAGGUUCUUUGAAUACCCUUGAAUCAUACCAGACUAUGCAUUUCACAAUUGCAGAGGUAUGUUGUUGGAAUCGUGAAGGUGCUGGAGAAAGGCUUGUGGAUCGGUGCAUUGCGUGAAGAGAUGCCACAGCAGCCGGUUCGUAUCCUGUUUUGUCCGAGACUGCUGUUUGUUUGGUGAGUGCGCACCCGAGUGCAACUCCAGCAUUUGCUAUAAAGGAAUAGCUCCUGAUUGCUAUUUAGAGCUGCAGUUGCAAACCCACUUGGUGCUUGAGCUUGAACUCCGUGUCGAGGCAGAGUGCAACCAGAUCUUAGUUUGGAGCGUGGUUGGAGAUGAGAUCCUCUCAUUCCCCUACUCUCGUUUCGACUCCGCCUUUCCUCAGUUUCGAUCUAGAUGUUCCACCUACGGCAAGGGUCUCUCUUCAUGCGGUCAUGUACAUUUGAAAAAACAGAAUUCUAUUUUAUUUUAUUUUAUUUUGUCAAUCUCCUUGUGUUGCCAAGCGGGAGCUGUAGCAUCUGCUGAAUCAGCUUCUCAGGCGGAAUUUCUUUCAUGAUCAUAAUUUGGCAGGGAGUUGAGUUGGAGGGAGCGAAGGAGAGGAAUGUGAGAUAGGAGGUGAUGGUGAUUGUGGAUGAAGUCGUUGGGAUGCAUGCGAGAAUAGAAUUAGUAGCGUUUGCAACGUGGGGCAGGGAAGAAGAGCAGAGGAAGAGUAGUUGCGCGUGGUUGAAGUGAUCAGCUAGCGUGAAGUGGUAGAGGACUGGAGGAAGGAGUAAUUUCAACGAUCAGACAACCAGCAGGGUGCCUGGAGAAAGGUGUUGGUUGUGAGCUGGUGAAGUAGUGAUGAAUGAACCACGCGGAAGAGAUUGUUUUGAGUAGCUUCUUUUAGGAUUAGGUUGUGAGAGCCAAGCGGCAGAGGAGUUGCAUUGGUGGUUUCCAGUGCGACGGAUCUCUGCUUCGGGUUCCGUAAGUGUCCAGACCUUCUUAAUUUUGGAGAUCGGGUUAGAGUAGGAAAACUUAAUCACCUCUUUAGGAUGAUACUGUUGUCUUAAUUAAUAUCGCCAUGCUAUUUUGUCAGCCAACGACAUUCAUUUAUUUAUUUUUGACUUCAACACGUCAUGCUGGAAAGGUCCGGAAGUACUCAUGACGUAUUGGCCUCAAUGGUGUUACUGUCUACAAUGCUCUUUGCAUGUUAAUCUCUACCUGUUGCAGAACUCUCAGCUGAAGCCAGUGCGGUGUGGGGCUCAUUGUAAAAAUGGAACUUAAUGAUCAUCCAGGAAGGAACCUCAAAAGGUUCGAAUUUUUCACAUUUUUGAAGUUUGAAUGAAAGAGGGAAAUAUAUAAGUAGGCAAUAUUAGUGCUGAGACAGCAGGACAUAAGAGUAUAGGAGCAGCAGGGGAGCCACCAUGGCUUCAUGUGCGACGAGAGGCAUUCGAAUAUGGUAUGCUGCCACUUCCUAGUCUUGUGCACGGUGAUGUAGUGACUGGCUUGAGAAACCUUCGAGUCAAACUACUUCAGCAAGCUCCUCCCAUUUCCACCUGGUCUUCGAGCAUCAAUUCCAAUACAGUUUUGAACGAUAUGGGAGGAGCUAUGGAUUGCCUGGCUACCACACCAGCGACUGAAACCGACUCUGUAGGUGUUGAUAUUGAUAUUGAUAUUUUUACAUAUUCAAUCUUAUCGAAAGGUAUAGUCCCGCCGACACCGAGGUGCUGCUGAUGUCGCUGUUAUGUGGCCUUUCGCUUCUACAACUGAUGGAUUUCUUCCUGGCCUAUCUCCUAUGCAGGUGAGGAUGCAUUCUGCUGAUCGCAGCAGAUCAUGAAUCUGGAUCUAGGUUAUAAGGAACCUGAAAUUGGAAUAAUCCCUUUCUCCAGAAUAUAAAUGCCAAUCAAGAUAAAAUUCUUUCAUUUGAGUUCUUUGGUGGUAAAUUGAUUUACAACCAAACAUCAUACACCAACCUGAAUUUAUUUAUUUAUUUUUACAGACCCAAUGAUUUCAACAAAAAUGAGCUUUUGCAACGACAGUCACUAAAAUGAUUCAAUUGAAAAAUAUUCAAAAGCAUUUUAGUUUUGAAGAUGCAUGUGUUCUGAUCAUGAUGCAGUCAUUUUACACCACCCGACAUUCAUUGCAGAAAACCUUAAUAACUUAAGGUUUUGCAAGUCCAGUUUACGUUUUAGUAAACCGUUUCACCACCAAAAGGUUCAUUUGCAUUUGUGUAACCCUAACUUGAGAAUCAAUUUAAAUAUAAUAGAUGGUCAAUAACAAUUACAAGAAAUUCACUAAAUGUAGUUCAAAAGCAGUAGUACUCCAUUUAUAGGUUUCCCCAUGUUUCAUGAUGCAUUGGAACAUUCAGUUCCACAGCAUGGUGUCAUGGCUCACAGGAUGGUGGCAUCAAGAGUAAAUGAUCAGGGCAUGUGCUUGACUUGUAGAACUGCUGUAUUUGGUGUCUUGUAAAAUCAUCUCAAUUACUUUGAAUGUUGUGAAUUACUGCUAUAUACGAGGUUCGUGAUGACGACUACUCUUCAUAACGAUUUCAGGAUUGCAGCUAGAUCCCAUCAAUUGUAAAUACAUUUUCAAGUAGGUCUUGCUUUGCUUCACCUGUAGUAACUAGUUGAUUGGUUUUACAUUCUUCAAAACAGGACACCAUCAUUGUUGCGGGCAGUCAUAUCAUCGAUGCUCCGGAACAUGAGGGGUGUGGUAAUUUCGAGACAGUAAGCUUUCAAAGUACUCAUGAUUAGGUUAAAAUGUGCUAUUAGAAGCUUUCCUUCACAUAUGUGAGUGGUUGUUACACUACAACUGAAGAUCAGUAUCUUUUCACACACAGAGAAAGAGAUAGAAAGAGAGAGAGAUACGUUGUUGUAUACAGCUCGAUCAUGCAAGUGACACUCAACUUCGAAAGAACGUGGUGAAAGCAAAUGGUGUGAGGAGAAACGUAGCUUGAGAAGAAAAAAACGGUCAAUACCUACAAGUAGAACCACGAUUCCGGGAGCUGAGACACGAGUUACUGAACAGCACUAAUUGUGAAGACCCAAUGGUACAAACCAAUACACUACCAGGAUACCCGGCUCACAAUAUCAGAGGCAAAAAUUCACGUACCGUCUUCCAAUUUGUCUGAACAAGAAUUUGAGUCCCCUUUGUCACACAAAAAGGACAUGAAAAUGGGGGUAUAAUGCUAUAUUGUGACCAGUACCACCAAGUCACUCGCAAAAUUAACUCAACUACUGGAAUUUCGAAAUGUGGUGGGGGCCAAUAUCAAUCAAACUCGUGCUAAAGAAAAA